rnacentral:rRNA from 1 species
GACUAACGCUGGCGGCGUGCCUAACACAUGCAAGUCGAACGAAGCAGCAAUGCUUAGUGGCAGACGGGUGAGUAACGCGUAGAUAAUGUGCCCCUCUUGCGGGGGAUACCGUUUCGAAAGGAACGUUAAUACCGCAUAAAGUCCUUAGGAGGCAUCUCUUAGGGACCAAACUUCCGGGGCGGGAGGAGCAAUCUGCGUACUAUCAGCUAGUUGGUGAGGUAAUGGCUCACCAAGGCUACGACGGUUAACUGGUCUGAGAGGAUGAUCAGUCACACUGGAACUGAGACACGGUCCAGACUCCUACGGGAGGCAGCAGUGAGGAAUAUUGCACAAUGGGCGAAAGCCUGAUGCAGCGACGCCGCGUGGAGGAUGAAGGAUUUCGGUCUGUAAACUCCUGUCAGUAGGGAAGAGAAUGGAACGGUACCUACUGAGGAAGCUUCGGCUAACGUACGUGCCAGCAGCCGCGGU